rnacentral:rRNA from 1 species
AGGGCGCAAGGGGGAUGCCUUGGCAUUGGUAGCCGAUGAAGGACGUAGCGAUCUACGAUAAGCCACGGGAAGUCGAAAGCAGGCAAUGAUCCGUGGAUUUCCGAAUGGGGAAACCCGGCAGAGCAAUACUCUGUCAACUCCUUGUGAAUAAAAUAGCAUUGAGUAGGGAACCUCCUGAACUGAAACAUCUAAGUAGGGAGAGGAAAAGAAAUCAACCGAGAUUCCGCUAGUAGUGGCGAGCGAACGCGGAAGAGGCCAAACCGGAGGUAGCAAUAUUUCCGGGGUUAGGACUGCAAUAUGUAACUUUAAUCUUUAACUGAAUGCUUUGGGAAGAGCAGCAAUAUAGGGUGAUAGCCCCGUAAGUGAAAAGGAUUGAGUGCUAGCAGUAUCCAGAGUACCAGCGGACACGUGAAACCCGCUGGGAAGAUGGGGGGACCAUCCUCCAAGCCUAAAUACUACUCAGUGACCGAUAGUGGAGCAGUACCGUGAGGGAAAGGUGAAAAGUACCCCGGGAGGGGAGUGAAAAAGAACCUGAAACCUUGUGCCUACAAGCACCGAGAGUCCGUUAAAGGAUGAUCGGGUACUUUUUGUAGAACGGUCCGGCGAGUUAAUAUUUGCAGCGAGGUUAAGGAACUGGAGUUCCGGAGCCGCAGCGAGAGCGAGUCUGAAAAGGGCGUAUGAAGUUGCAGGUAUUAGACCCGAAACCGGGUGACCUAUCCAUGAGCAGGCUGAAGCGGUGGUAAGACACCGUGGAGGGCCGCACCCACGUCUGUUGAAAAAGCCGGGGAUGACUUGUGGAUAGCGGAGAAAUUCCAAUCGAACUCGGAGAUAGCUGGUUCUCCUCGAAAUAGCUUUAGGGCUAGCCUUGUUUAGUAGCAUGUGGAGGUAAAGCACUGAAUAUGUGAGGGUUCUUACCAGAAUACCGAUCAUUAUCAAACUCUGAAUGCCAUGUGUGUAAGAACAGGAGUCAGACAGUGACAGCUAAGUGCCAUUGUCAAAAGGGAAAGAGCCCAGACCAACAGCUAAGGUCCCAAAAUUGUAGUUAAGUGGAAAAGGAUGUGGGAAUUCAUAGACAACCAGGAUGUUGGCUCAGAAGCAGCCAUUCAUUUAAAGAGUGCGUAAAAGCUCACUGGUCGAAGUAGGCCUGCGCCGAAAAUUACCGGGGCUAAACUACAUACCGAAGCUUUGGAUUUGGUACGUAAAGUAUUAAGUGGUAGAGGAGCGUUGUAUAAAGGUUGAAGCUAUACUGAAAAGAGUAGUGGACGAUAUACAAGAGAGAAUGCCGGAAUAAGUAGCGAGAGCACAGUGAGAAUCUGUGCCGCCGAAAACCUAAGGUUUCCUGGGGAAGGUUCGUCCGCCCAGGGUAAGUCGGGACCUAAGACGAGGCUAAAGCAGCGUAGUCGAUGGAAAGCAGGUAAAAGAUUCCUGCACUACCGAAAUGCGAUAUACAAUAUAUCAUGACGCAUCAGAGGAGUCUAAGCGAGCAAAUGGAAAAGUUCGUACCGCAAGGUGGAGUGAAAAAAUAGUAGCGAAGUAGACAAAUCAGGUGACAAGAAAAGUGAUAUAGGAGCAUAGAGGUACUCGUACCGUAAACCGACACAGGUGGGAAGAAAGAGAAUUUUCAGGCGAACGAGAGAAUCAUUGUUAAGGAACUCGGCAAAUUAACCCCGUAACUUAGGGAUAAGGGGAGCCAAUAGCGAUAUUGGUCGCAGAGAAAUGGCCCAAGCAACUGUUUAGCAAAAACACAGGUUUCUGCCAAAUCGAAAGAUGAAGUAUAGGAGCUGACGCCUGCCCAGUGCUGGAAGGUCAAGGGGAGAUGUUAGAAGAAAUUCGAAGCAUAGAACCAAAGCCCCAGUGAACGGCGGCCGUAACUAUAACGGUCCUAAGGUAGCGAAAUUCCUUGUCAGGUAAGUUCUGACCCGCACGAAAGGCGUAAUGAUUUGGGCACUGUCUCGACAAUGAACUCGGCGAAAUUGUAGUACUAGUGAAGAUGCUAGUUACCUGUGAUAAGACAGAAAGACCCCAUGGAGCUUUACUGUAGCUUGAUAUUGAGACUAGGUAAGAGAUGUACAGAAUAGAUGGGAGACUAUGAGAUAAGGACGCCAGUUCUUAAGGAGUCACCUUUGGGAUACCAUCCUUCUUUUACUUGGAAUCUAACUAGUUACCAUGAUCUGGUAAUAGGACAGUGUCAGGUGGGCAGUUUGACUGGGGCGGUCGCCUCCUAAAGAGUAACGGAGGCGUUCAAAGGUCAGCUUAACACGGUCAGAAAUCGUGUGAUGACGUGCAAAGGCGUAAGCUGGCUUGACUGCGAGACUGACAGGUCGAGCAGACGCGAAAGCGGGACUUAGUGACCCGAUGGUUGUGAGUGGAAAUGCCAGAGCUCAACGGAUAAAAGUUACCCUGGGGAUAACAGGCUUAUCUCCCCCGAGAGUCCAUAUCGACGGGGAGGUUUGGCACCUCGAUGUCGGCUCAUCGCAUCCUGGAGCGGUAGUACGUUCCAAGGGUUGGGCUGUUCGCCCAUUAAAGCGGCACGCGAGCUGGGUUCAGAACGUCGUGAGACAGUUCGGUCCAUAUCCGGUAUACGCGCAAGAGAUUUGAACGGAGUCUUCCUUAGUACGAGAGGACCGGGAAGAGGGGACCUCCAGUGUACGGGUUAUUCUGCCAAGAGUAAACGCCCGGUAGCUGUGUUCCAAGCGGAUAAGUGCUGAAAGCAUAUAAGUACGAAGCCCACCGUAAGAUGAGAUCUCUCAUAGCAUAAGCUAGUAAGUCCCGUUGCAGAUUACAACGUUGAUAGGUCGCAGGUGUAAGAGUGGCAACAUUUUCAGCCGAGCGAUACUAAUAGGACGAGGGCUUUCCUU